AUUGAACGCUGGCGGCAGGCCUAACACAUGCAAGUCGAACGAGUGGCGGACGGGUGAGGACUUCAUCGGAAUAUAGCUUGUCGAGGGGGCUAACUGAGGGAAACUUUCGCUAAUACCGCAUACGAUAGAAUGAGCCGAUGUGGGAUUAGGUAGUUGGUGGGGUAAAGGCCCCGCAGGCCGACGAUCUGUACCUGGUCUGAGAGGAUGAGCAGCCACACUGGAACUGAGACACGGCCCAGACUCCUACGUGAGGCAGCAGUGGGGAAUAUUGCACAAUGGGCGCAAGCCUGAUGCAGCCAUGCCGCGUGUAUGAAGAAGGCCUUCGGGUUGUAAAGUACUUUCAGCCGGGAGGCGUUACCCACAGAAGAAGCACCGGCUAACUCCGUGCCAGCAGCCGCGGUAAUAC
rnacentral:rRNA from 1 species